UUGGAGGGCAAGUCUGGUGCCAGCAGCCGCGGUAAUUCCAGCUCCAAUAGCGUAUAUUAAAGUUGUUGCAGUUAAAAAGCUCGUAGUUGAAUUUCGGGAUUAGUACGUUGAUCGUGCCUUCGGUACGUACUGGUGUUACUGAUUCCUACCUUCUGACGGACCAUCAUGUCAUUAAUUUGGUGUGGCGGGGAAUCAGGACUGUUACUUUGAAAAAAUUAGAGUGUUUAAAGCAGGCUCGCACUUGAAUACAUUAGCAUGGAAUAAUAAAAUAGGACGUUGAUCCUAUUUUGGUGGUUUCUAGGAUUGACGUAAUGAUUAAUAGGGAUAGUUGGGGGCAUUAGUAUUCAAUUGUCAGAGGUGAGAUUCUUGGAUUUAUUGAAGACUAACUACUGCGAAAGCAUUUGCCAAGGAUGUUUUCAUUAAUCAAGAACGAAAGUUAGGGGAUCGAAGACGAUCAGAUACCGUCGUAGUCUUAACCAUAAACUAUGCCGACUAGGGAUCGGAUGAUGUUAUUUUUAAUGACUCAUUCGGCGCCUUACGGGAAAC
rnacentral:rRNA from 1 species